UACGUAGGGUGCAAGCGUUAAUCGGAAUUACUGGGCGUAAAGCGUGCGCAGGCGGUUCUAUAAGACAGAUGUGAAAUCCCCGGGCUCAACCUGGGAACUGCAUUUGUGACUGUAGAGCUGGAGUACGGCAGAGGGGGAUGGAAUUCCGCGUGUAGCAGUGAAAUGCGUAGAUAUGCGGAGGAACACCGAUGGCGAAGGCAAUCCCCUGGGCCUGUACUGACGCUGAGGAGCGAAAGCGUGGGGAGCGAACAGG
rnacentral:rRNA from 1 species